rnacentral:lncRNA from 1 species
CUAAAAGCAGACAAAGAGUCAGAAUUGCAUCUUCCACCCCUUUAGAGGCUUGACAGGCUUGCAGGGGUCAGUGAGUUGCUGUGUUUGUGAUACCAUAUACUUCUUCUAGUUGUUUAAAGCACUUGUCUGAAGUGCUUUCAACAGCCUUACUGUGUUAGAUGAGACUCCUAAACUUGAAUGUUCACAGGAAGUAUAGAACAUUUCCAUAAAGUGGUCAUUUUUCUGCAGUCAGUGCUACAGUGCAGUAUGUACUCCUCUGCCUUUCAGGGCAGUAUAUGAUCACACAGGCGUUCAGAGGACACAGAGGAGGUCACUGGAUUCAGCCAGCACUGCAUACAUACACAAGCUGCAUACAGUUUGCCGGGUGGUGUCUUCAUCUAACAACGACAUGGAAACCUUCACUUUCACUUGCAGGCAUAAGGGGGUGGGCUGUUUUGCUUCAGUUUGUAUGAGUAGUUAUUAUUCAACAAUUCGCAACAUUUUCUGCUACGUGACCUGGGAAUCUUACAGGUUAACAAUUGGACCAUUUCCAUAACUGUUGUGGGUGGGCAUGAGUAUGGUCAACAGAGGGUUAGAGCAAGAACAGACACUAUGUAUCAGUAUGCAGCCACAAAACCCCUAAAGGAGUGGAAGACCCCUCUGAGACAAUCAUAUGAGCGGGUGGAUGUAUUAGUGUGUGUGGUUUUAUACAAAAUCUAUAUACUCUAUACACUAGUGUGAGCGCCACUGUGUGCUUUGUUUGUGAGUAUUUUGCGUGUGUUACUGUUUGUGGUGACUAUAAGGUGGACAACAGUAGAUUGAAAUAUUCUCAGCCUUUGAUGAGCUGUUGUGUGUAAGCAAGAGAGUGUUUUCCUCGCAGAUUAAAUGUUGCUCAUGUAAGCGGGAGCAUGUGUGUGUAAGCAAAAGACAGAGCGAGAUAAAGGCAGUGUGUGUGAGUGAGAGUGUGUGCGCUGGAAGAGUGUAAAUAUGAGACUGAGCCAACAACUGAGCCGAGGAAUCGAGAGGCCCCGAGGGAAAAGUCACAAGCUUCUCG